CAUAGGAUAGUUUAAUAAAAUAUUAACUUUGGAAGUUAAUGAUAAAGAAUCUAUCUUUUCCUUUGA
rnacentral:tRNA from 1 species